rnacentral:RNase_P_RNA from 2 species
UGAGUCGGCCGGGCGGCCGCGGCACCCCUGUGGUGUCGAGGAAAGUCCGGACUCCGCAGAGCGACGGUGGUGGCUAACGGCCACCCACGGCGACGUGCGGGACAGUGCCACAGAAAUCAAACCGCCAACGGCCCUUCGGGGAACGGGUAAGGGUGAAACGGUGAGGUAAGAGCUCACCAGCGCUCCGGGUGACCGGGGCGGCUAGGUAAACCCCACCGGGAGCAAGACCAAGAGGACCUUCGGGUCUGCGCUGACGGGCUGCUCGUCCUAUGUCAGCGGGUAGGUCGCACGAGGCGUCCAGCAAUGGACGUCCCAGAUGGAUGGUCGCCCGGGCCACUUCGGUGGCCCGACAGGAUCCGGCUUACAGGCCGGCUCAUUCG